rnacentral:rRNA from 1 species
UACGUAGGGGCGAGCGUUGUCCGGAAUGAUUGGGCGUAAAGGGCGCGUAGGCGGCCAUGCAAGUCUGGAGUGGAAGUCCAUCUUUCAAGGGUGGAAUUGCUUUGGAAACUGUGUGGCUCGAGUGCAGGAGAGGUUAUCGGAAUUCCCGGUGUAGCGGUGAAAUGCGUAGAGAUCGGGAGGAACAUCAGUGGCGAAGGCGGGUAACUGGACUGCAACUGACGCUGAGGCGCGAAAGUGUGGGGAGCAAACAGGAUUAGAUACCCU